UACGUAGGGUGCAAGCGUUAAUCGGAAUACUGGGCGUAAAGCGUGCGCAGGCGGUUAUGUAAGACAGAUGUGAAAUGCCCGGGCUUAACCUGGGAACUGCAUUUGUGACUGCAUGGCUAGAGUUUGGCAGAGGGGGGUAGAAUUCCACGUGUAGCAGUGAAAUGCGUAGAUAUGUGGAGGAACACCGAUGGCGAAGGCAGCCCCCUGGGUCAAAACUGACGCUCAUGCACGAAAGCGUGGGGAGCAAACAGG
rnacentral:rRNA from 1 species